GAGAGAGAGAGAGAGAGAAAAGAUCUAGCGAGAGGGUUAGAAGAAUAUGGCUACGCUUCAGACAUGGAGGAAAGCCUAUGGCGCUCUCAAGGAUUCUACCAAAGUCGGCCUUGCCCAUGUCAACAGCGAUUACGCGGAUUUGGAUGUCGCAAUAGUCAAAGCUACUAACCACGUCGAGUGCCCGCCCAAGGAGAGACACCUCAGGAGUGAGUGAUUGCUGUUUGCCAGAUCCAUU
rnacentral:misc_RNA from 1 species